rnacentral:tRNA from 1 species
GGAGCCGUGCCUGAAGCCAAAGGGCCACUUUGAUAGAGUGAAUAAUGGGGGUUAAAGUCCCCCCGCCUCCU